rnacentral:rRNA from 1 species
UACGUAGGGUGCAAGCGUUAAUCGGAAUUACUGGGCGUAAAGCGUGCGCAGGCGGUUGUGCAAGACAGAUGUGAAAUCCCCGGGCUUAACCUGGGAAUUGCGAUGGUGACUGCAAGGCUAGAGUUUGGCAGAGGGGGGUAGAAUUCCACGUGUAGCAGUGAAAUGCGUAGAGAUGUGGAGGAACACCGAUGGCGAAGGCAGCCCCCUGGGUCAAAACUGACGCUCAUGCACGAAAGCGUGGGGAGCAAACAGG